rnacentral:rRNA from 1 species
GACAGAGGCCUCGAGCGUUAGGCGGAAUCACUGGGCUUAAAGCGUGUGUAGGCGGGCCCGUAAGUGUCUUGUGAAAUCCCACGGCUCAACCGUGGAACUGCUGGGCAUACUGCGGGUCUUGGGCCAACUAGGGGCAGCCGGAACAAGCGGUGGAGCGGUGAAAUGCGUAGAUAUCGCUUGGAACGCCGAAGGUGAAAACAGGCUGCUGGGGUUGCGCCGACGCUGAGACACGAAAGCCAGGGGAGCGAACGGG